AUGAACCUGUGUUUUUACAGAAGUACUUGGAACACUGCUUUCCUGUGGUAUGAUCCUUUGCCAGUGUGAAACUUAUAUGAAAUGAAGGAAUAGGUGUACUCAGAGGAAUCUUGAAGGAGAAGAGAUGCUCAGCUUUGGAAGCAAAACAAAUGACAGACUGUCUUCUGGAGUUCAUUAAGCUGUCUUUUCCUACUCCAGAUCUCACACUCUCAUAAAUGUCUACUGAAAAUUGCAGUGUGCUUACAUAACUCAUCUUGUGGAUUGAGGCCAUAAAUAUUAACAAAUUAGCUGCAACAGCACUUGGCACCUUAAAGUUGUAUCUCUCUUCUUCAAAGCUUGCUCAG